rnacentral:rRNA from 1 species
UACGAAGGGGGCUAGCGUUGCUCGGAAUCACUGGGCGUAAAGGGUGCGUAGGCGGGUCUUUAAGUCCUGCGUGAAAUCCUGCGGCUCAACCGCAGACGGUCGUGGGAAACUGGAAGGCUAGAGUGCGGGAGAGGAGAGUGGAAUUCCUGGUGUAGCGGUGAAAUGCGCAGAUAUCAGGAGGAACACCAAUGGCGAAGGCAGCUCGCUGGGACGUGACUGACGCUGAGACGCGAAAGCGUGGGGAGCAAACAGG